rnacentral:rRNA from 1 species
GUCUACGGCCAUGCUACCCUGAACAAGCCCGAUCCUGUCUGAUCUCGGAAGCUAAGCAGGGUCUGGCCUGGUUAGUACUUGGAUGGGAAACCUCCUAGGAAGGCCAAGUACUGUAGGCG